rnacentral:rRNA from 1 species
GACGAACGCUGGCGGCGUGCCUAAUACAUGCAAGUCGAACGAGAGCGCCCGGUGCUUGCACUGGUCAAUCUAGUGGCGAACGGGUGAGUAACACGUGGGUAACCUGCCCAUCAGAGGGGGAUAACAUCCGGAAACGGAUGCUAAAACCGCAUAGGUCUUCGAACCGCAUGGUUUGAAGAGGAAAAGAGGCGCAAGCUUCUGCUGAUGGAUGGACCCGCGGUGCAUUAGCUAGUUGGUGAGGUAACGGCUCACCAAGGCCGUGAUGCAUAGCCGACCUGAGAGGGUGAUCGGCCACAUUGGGACUGAGACACGGCCCAAACUCCUACGGGAGGCAGCAGUAGGGAAUCUUCCGCAAUGGACGCAAGUCUGACGGAGCAACGCCGCGUGAGUGAAGAAGGUUUUCGGAUCGUAAAACUCUGUUGUUAGAGAAGAACAAGUGCUAGAGUAACUGUUAGCGCCUUGACGGUAUCUAAACAGAAAGCCACGGCUAACUACGUG